UUCAGUAAAGAUGAGAGGAGGGGUUCUCACCAUGUUGGUCAGGCUGGUCUCAAAAUUCCUGACCUCAAGUGAUCCACUGUCCUCAGCGUCCCGAAGUACUGCGAUUACAGAAUGAGCCUCCACACCCGGCCUCCAAGUGCCUUUGUUUUAUCUGAUUUGAAAAAGAAGCAUGUCUUCUUCUUAAUAGGCUUCUAGGUGCUGCAUUUUUCACAAAUUGGAGGUUUGUGGAACCCUGCAUAAAUCAAGUCUAUCAGCACCAUUUUUCUAACAACAUAUGCUCACUUGUCAUCUCUGUGUCAGCAUUUUUUAGCAAUAUUUUAAAAUUAAGGUUGGAGGUGAGGCCUGGCAGGAGGCAUUUGGAAUCCAGGGGCAGAUCCCUCAUGAAUGGCUUGGUGCCAUUCUCUCAAAAGUGAGUUCUCACUCUUAGUUCCAGAGAGAACUGACUGUGAAAGAACCCGGCACCUCCCUCCCUCUCUUUUCCUUUCUCUCUCCUGCUCCCCUUCACUUUCUGCCAUGAGUGGAAGCUUUCCGGGGCCCUCACCAGAAGCAGAUGCCAGCACAAUGCUUCUUGGACAGCCUGCAACACUGUAAGCCAAAUAAACCUAUUUUCUAUGUAAGUGACCCAGCCUCAGGUGAUUAUUUUAUUGCAAUGCAAAAUGGACUAAGAUACAUAGCCUGUAGGUGUCCAAGCCAUGCUUUUCUUAUCUAAACAUGCGAAGAAACAAGUAGCCCCCUGCAGUCAUAACCACUCAUUAUAAACCUCCAAAACCGCAGCCCUCACUGGUGACUUUUCAGCCACUGCACAUCCAAAGAUCAUGCUCUCUCAUAGCACAAAGGCAUCCCUGGUACUCCCAAAGCUAAAGAAACCAGAGAACUGACUCAUAAGAAACAAUAAAUCUUUCUGAGUUUCUCUUCAAAGGGUUUAGCCUGUUAACUUCCUUAUCCUUUGUUCUCAAACUCAACGUUCUUGUUCUUCCUUGCCGCUACUCACCGUAAACAGCCUUCCCUUUCACAUGAGCUCUAAUCAGUAACUCACAUCUGUUCCCUUGGUUACCUGUACCCAUUGUUCCCCCGAAACUGCACGUCUCACUCAAUCCACCUCUGUACCUCACGUCCCCCUCCCCUGCUAUAUUUAGGAAAAUAUGUACAAGUAGCCAAUCAGGUCAGCUCAAAUUGUGCAGUCCGACCCCAGCCCAUGUGGGUGUGGCACAGUUCUGUGUGCACUUGUGAUCUUGAUUGACGUGAGUGACACCCUUCUGCAGAAGUAAAUUGCCUUGCUGAGAGGAUUAAACUUUUGCCUGAGUGCUGGUUUUACUUUGCAGCACCAAGCAUUUAUUCCUGGAGUGUUUUAUAUCCAACAUCACUGCAAAAGAGAACAGAGCUCUAGACCCAAGAGAAACCUCCCCUCAACUCUUGGGACUUCAUAUGGAAGGCAGAAGACCCCCAAAAGGGGAUGUGUGACACCUUUUUCUAUGUUCUUAAGGGGUCUCAGGGUUGCUGGAAGUCUUCUCUAGAUUCCUUCACGUGGUCUUGAAGAUCGCAAAUGAAGGAGGAGCAGAGUGGAAGGAAAUUGAAAACUAAGUCUUAGAGGAGCCAAACUGGGGCAAUUUCAAGUUUUCCAAAAGGCAAAAAUCAUACCAACAAGAAAGGCACCACACAGAGGGACCAAAUAUAUCAAUUGUUUUAAAAGGGGGGUUGCUCAGUCAACUGAAAACAAAUUCUCAGACAGAGGAUGCAAAAAGAGAAGAAAGCUGGGUGUGGUGGCUCACACCUGUAAUCCCAACACUUUGGAAGGCUGAGGCGGAGGUACCACCACUUGAGCCUGGGAGUUCAGGACCAGCCUGAGCAACAUAGUGAGACUUUGUCUUCACAAAAUGUUUUAAAAAUUAGCUGGGUGUGGUGAUAUGUUCCUGCAGUGCCAAAUACAACGGGAGGCUGAAGGGGGAGGAUUUCCUGAGCCCAGAGGUCAGGGCUGCAGAGAACCACGAUAGUGACACUCUACUCCAGUCUGGGCAACAGAGUAAGACUCUGUCUAAAAAAAAUAAGAAAUAAAAAAAAUCAGCUUUUUUCCCCCACACACAACACAACCAUAAUACUAGCUUUUAAUUAAGCUGAGUUCUGAUCACUGAGUUCAUUAAUUAAUUAAUUUUUAAAAUU